rnacentral:lncRNA from 1 species
GUCUUGGCCACACCCCUUCAGAGGAUGCGCGUCACAUACAAGUCCUCUCCGCCACGGCAGCCCCUAAACGAUGUGAGGAGCAGGAGUGCGUUUGUCGAGCGGCACCCGGCAAACAAACGCUGUGGGGACCUGGCCAGGGAAUCGGACGCAAAGCUGUAAACAUGUGCCUGUCACGGAAGGGGCUCUAGGACCGCAGGACCCCUGUCGGCAGCCGGCACAGAAGCACACCGCAGACUGGCGUGGAGAAGAGACCCGGGGAAGCAGAGGCCGCUGCUCGGACAUACCAUUGUGUUUUCUGUGGAGAAGAAAGAGGUGGGACACCUCUGUUUGGCCCUGGGCACAGCAAAUACGAAAAGAGGAAGAAGCAGAGACACCAUCUCUCUGUUCUUUACGGCCACCUCUUGUAGGGCUGAGGGGCAAGGACGCCCCGUCACACCCUGGCUGGCUGCCGCAAGGGCCCGAGGGGGGACUGGAGCAUCAUGUGCAGAAGGAAGCCCGUGGCUGGUGCUCAGGUGGCCUCGUACUCAGAGAUGGAGGGACCGCGUGCUGGAAUCGUACGGUCCCCUCCUCACCGCCUCUGCCCCUGCUGCCCAGCCAGAGGAGACGAAUGCACGUGCAGAAACCCUUCCUGGCCAGCACCCUGCCGCCGGGGUUCUCACGGCCCCAGCCAGCUGCUGAGUGCACAGCACGCCAUCUUCAGUUCCACACCACGUGGAAACCGUCACCUCCACGAGACUCCAGACACCACGCCAAGCAAAGAGGAAGCCUGCGUUUUCCAUGCAGGGCCGUGGACGUCCUACUCUCCAAACCCAUCAGCGGCACGGGCCACUCCCGAUAUUUUCGUGCAAACGCAGCCUGUGCAGCCCAUGUCCUGAAAACAAGAGUGCCCACUCCCCAAAAGGCACAGGUAAAUUUGUAUACACUCUUUUUUUUUUUUAAUGUUUAUUUCUUUCUGAGAGAGCAUGAGCGGGGAAGGGGCAGAGAGAGAGGCAGGCACAGAAUCCGAAGCAGGCUCCAGGCUCCGAGCUGUCAGCACACAGCCCGACGCGGGGCUCAAACCCACAAACCUCGAGAUCGCUACCUGAGCUGAAGUCGGACGCUUAACCAGCUGAGCCACCCGGGCGCCCCCACUCUUUUAGAUGAAAAAAGUGUUUUACAAAAAGUAACUGCAAAUAUUGGCUUUUUCACUUUGAACUAUUGUGCAGGCAACAAGCCGCCUUUCUCAAGGAGAUUCGUCAACGGAGAUGACAUGAAAACAUCAGCUUGGAAUGAUCUGCCCUGGGAAGGGACACGGGCCUCACUUCCCAGGAGGGGGACAGACAACCAGAGAAGUCAGCUCAGAGAGGACACCCCUCCUGCCUUGAGAAGCACCAACAGGCAGCACAGAAAGGCCACGGGGAUCUCUCCAGGAGGCCAGCCUCGCACAGGGCUGCCCCGCCGAGAACAAGCAUAUGACCCCGGCACCCAGUAUUGGGCCCAUUUUGGGUGCGAUUCCGUGUGCCACAGCAGAGCUCUUCGACAGAAAGUGAGCUUCUGAGAACACAGGGAAGCCGGUGGCCAAGGACUAGAAACGGGAAGGGAGACCCCACAGAUACCCGGGGUGCCGGCACGUCAGGAACCCGGGAUGACGCGUACCUGCGUGGAAUAAACGUGGCCACCUGUGCCA